AUUCAGAGCUUGCGUUCUGUGGGUUGUAUGAUAAAGCUGUAAAACAUGUAAGAAUGGUUUUGCAAGUCUGAAUCGUUGAAGGCAGCAAUAAGUGGAUUUAGAGCCUGUUCUUGAGCAGACAAAGGGAAAAAGUGUGACUCUGAUGCUGAACUUGUCAUUUUUCAUUUGACUUGUCUUGAAUGAUUUAGGAAUAGAGAGAACUAGAAAAAGAGAGAAAUAGAAUCGAUUAUUGAGCAGUCCUCAAAUGCUCACCAUAAUUCAGUGUAGAGCCAAAGGGAAGGGUGAUGGAACAGAGCUCUGUGCUUUGGAAGGAAAUAAAUUUAAACCUGAUCUCCGCACAGAGUCUCACUAACUUCUGUGGUUUUAAAAUACAAAAUACGUUUAGGAAGUGUUGGAAGUUAGUAUUUUGGGAAAGAAACGGCAGUUCCACAGAACAUUCCAUUUCACAGAGGCUCUAGGAAGGAUUCAUGUUGUAACUGCUGUCACUGCAAUCAGUUGGUGGUUCAGCCUUGAAACGUGCACUUGGCCUUCUAUAAAGCGCUGUUUUGUUUGCCUUUCAUUGCUAUGAGUCUUGAUAAAUUGGAGAAGAGCCCAAGAGAAAUUUUUCAUCCCUUGAUAUAAAAGGGAUCGGUGAAUUUUAACUUUGGAGUCCUCUAUGCUAAGGAUGCUCAGCUUACAGAUGAUGAAAUGUUCAGUAAUGGUGAGUUUUUCACGUUCUCUUUAAUUGCUGUGCUGAUCUGAAUAAGAAAAAAACAAAAGCAAGAGGGAAAAAAAAGGAUGGUUUAUUAUUUUUUACGCUGUUAUGUUUGUUUCCUCAGUAUUUGCUGCAGCUCUGCUUACCCAAGCUUUGUGUUCCUUCUGUCCCACUGGGAGUUGCCCAGUUUGGUUGCAUCUGGUGAAAUUCACCCUGAGACCUUACACAACUAGCUCAAACUACGUGAGAGCCAUUUGCAGUUCUCUCCAGACACCUGGAGAAUGGGUGACGUUUCUGAGGGUCUGGCAAGUGUACUUCUAUCAAAACUCAGUCUGUGAAGUUUCUGGGGAAAACCCUUCUGUGUCCUGAAGGGUUCAAACUCCUGUGAGGAUCCAUUUAUCAGGUGCUCACCUGGAUGGUUCCAGCUCUUAAAGUGAACACUUGUACUCUUACCCUGUAGUUUACAUCUAUUGUAUUUUUGUUAUUUUGCAAGAUUUUUUGUCUUUGCAAAAUAUUGUGCAUUUCACUCUUUGGAACCUCUCAGAUGGUUCUUUGGUGCAGCACCACCCCAUGGGACACUUGGCUGCUGUCCUGAAGGGGAUGGUCGCUAGAAUUGUAAAUUCUGGAGAGUUUAUAAGUCUUCUGUCCCCAGGGAGGUACCAUGCUUUGUUUACUUUUGUUCUGUUUGUUAGGCGCUGCUUCUCGUUGCAAGUAUGAAUUUCAAACUGCCCUGUUCUUAUUUUAACUGUUUUCCUGGUUCUCUCCGUCCGACAGGGAAAGACUCUCAUAUCCUCGUCGUCGGGCUCGGUGCUGUCCAAGAAGAUACAGAGACUAAAAAAAUCAUAAGCAGCAAAAUAUGACUGCAGGGAAAAGAAGCUGGAGAGAACAGAAGGCUGCCAUUUGUGUGCCAUCGGUACUCACCAUGGAAGCGAGCUGGGGAUUGUUGCACCCGUUGGGAACAAACCGCUUCUUGUCACACAGAAAUGGAAUUGGGACGACGCCUCGGCCAGCCCCUCUCUGCCAUCGUCUCCUGAAUCUGCAGCAGAGCAGUUCCAGUCCAUCCGGGCACGUGCAAUCCAGUUCCUGAUGAUCUGAGCACACAGAGCAGCGCUCAGCUGCUGUGGGGGGCUCAGGGAAGGCAGUGUGUGCAUUGUCAUCUUCCUGAACCUACAGACAAAUCAAAACCCUCAGUGAGCAGAAUUUGUUGCAGACUCAGUGCACGCUGUGCCGGCCUCCCGGGAGUGUGAGGAGCUCAUGUGUGCUACUUUUUGCUUUAGGACGCUCUGAGGUAUUUAUUCCUUUUGGGAUACGUGAUGAGAAUUCCCAAGAGAGGUAGUUAUAAGGUAUGACAUUGGGAAAAAGCCUGUGUGGUUGGAAUGUUGUUGCUGUCAAAAGUUAAUUUUUCCUUCAUUCUUAGCCAGUAGUUAGCUUUUUGCUUUAUUUUUGUGGUAUCAGUAUUUUAUUGUUUAAAAAAUUCCUUCAAAAUAACUUCAGUGGUCGCCCACCAGUACCUUGUUCAGAUUUGCCUAUUUGCUUGUAGCUGAAA